GUAGGUGGCAAGCGUUGUCCGGGAUUAUUGGGCGUAAAGCGCGCGCAGGCGGUCCUUUAAGUCUGAUGUGAAAGCCCACGGCUCAACCGUGGAGGGUCAUUGGAAACUGGGGGACUUGAGUACAGAAGAGGAAAGCGGAAUUCCAAGUGUAGCGGUGAAAUGCGUAGAGAUUUGGAGGAACACCAGUGGCGAAGGCGGCUUUCUGGUCUGUAACUGACGCUGAGGCGCGAAAGCGUGGGGAGCAAACAGGAUUAGAUACCCUGGUAGUCCACGCCGUAAACGAUGAGUGCUAGGUGUUAGGGGGUUUCCGCCCCCCUUAGUGCUGCAGCUAACGCAUUAAGCACUCCGCCUGGGGAGUACGGCCGCAAGGCUG
rnacentral:rRNA from 1 species